AUUGAACGCUGGCGGCAGGCCUAACACAUGCAAGUCGAGCGGAGCGGCGGACGGGUGAGUAAUGCCUAGGAAUCUGCCUGGUAGUGGGGGAUAACGUACGGAAACGGGCGGUAAUACCGCCUGUCCUCAGCUGAACCUAGGUAGGAUUAGCUAGUUGGUGGGGUAAAGGCCUACUAAGGCGACGGUCCGUACCUGGUCUGAGAGGGUGAUGAGUCACACGGGAACUGAGACACGGUCCAGACUCCUACGGGAGGCAGCAGUGGGGAAGAUUGGCCAAUGGGCGAAAGCCUGAUCCAGCCAUGCCGCGUGUGUGAAGAAGGUCUUCGGAUUGUAAAGUACUUUAAGUUGGGAGGCGUUACCGACAGAAUAAGCACCGGCUAACUUCGUGCCAGCAGCCGCGGUAAUAC
rnacentral:rRNA from 1 species